GAGCGCCUUAGCAAUACUGAGCGGCAGACGGGAGAGUAACACGUGGGAACGUGCCCUUCAGUCCGGAACAACCCAGGGAAACUUGGGCUAAUACCGGAUACGUCCGUAAGGAGAAAGAUUUAUCGCUGAAGGAUCGGCCCGCGUCUGAUUAGCUAGUUGGUGAGGUAACGGCUCACCAAGGCGACGAUCAGUAGCUGGUCUGAGAGGAUGAUCAGCCUCACUGGGACUGAGACACGGCCCAGACUCCUACGGGAGGCAGCAGUGGGGAAUAUUGGACAAUGGGCGCAAGCCUGAUCCAGCCAUGCCGCGUGGAUGAUGAAGGCCUUAGGGUUGUAAAGUCCUUUCGGCGGGGAAGAUAAUGACGGUAUCCGCAGAAGAAGCCUCGGCUAACUUGGUGCCAGCAGCCGCGGUCAUAAU
rnacentral:rRNA from 1 species